GAUGAACGCUGGCGGCGUGCCUAAUACAUGCAAGUCGAGCGAACAGACGAGGCGCUUGCUCCUCUGACGUUAGCGGAGGGCGGGUGUGUAACACGUGGAUACCCUCCUUGUCAGACUGGGAUCACUACGGAAAACGGGAGCUAAUACCGGAUAAUAUAUUGAACCGCAGGGUUCAUUGGAAAAAGACGGUGUUGCUGGAUCUAAUCGCUGCAUCGGCGCCGCAUUAGCUAGUUGGUAAGGUAACGGCUUACCAAGGCAACGAGGCGUAGCCGACCGGAGAGGGUGAUCGGCCACACUGGAACUGAGACACGGUCCAUACUCCUACGGGAGGCAGCAGAAGGCAAUCGUCCGCAAUGGGGGAAAGCCUGACGGAGCAACGCGGCGUCAGUGAUGGAGGUCUCCGGUGCGGAAAACUCUGUUAUGGGGGAAGAACAAAUUUGGAAGGAACUAUGCACGGCUUGACGGUACCGAAUCAGAAAGCCACGGCUAACUACGUG
rnacentral:rRNA from 1 species